UACGGGGGGGGCAAGCGUUGUUCGGAUUUACUGGGCGUAAAGGGCGCGUAGGCGGUCAGCACAAGUCAGUUGUGAAAUCUCCGGGCUUAACUCGGAAAGGUCAACUGAUACUGUGCGACUAGAGUGCGGAAGGGGCAACUGGAAUUCUCGGUGUAGCGGUGAAAUGCGUAGAUAUCAGGAAGAACACCCGUGGCGAAGGCGGUUCUCUGGGACGGUACUGACGCUGAGACGCGAAAGCGUGGGGAGCGAACAGG
rnacentral:rRNA from 1 species